CAUCGCACCCAUGCAGAUCGGCAACGUGCUUGCCCAUCGUACAUGCGAGAACCCUGAGCCUCGGCAACAGCACAAUAUUGUGGAAAGCCGAAACAUAAAUAGGAGUCCUGAAGGCUUAUGAAUGAUUUUAAGACAUUGAACAAUUUGGUCCCG
rnacentral:ncRNA from 1 species